rnacentral:rRNA from 1 species
UACGUAGGGUGCGAGCGUUAAUCGGAAUUACUGGGCGUAAAGCGUGCGCAGGCGGUUCGUUGUGUCUGUGGUGAAAGCCCCGGGCUUAACCUGGGAAUGGCCAUGGAAACUGGCGAGCUGGAGUGUGGCAGAGGGGGGUGGAAUUCCGCGUGUAGCAGUGAAAUGCGUAGAGAUGUGGAGGAAUACCGAUGGCGAAGGCAGCCCCCUGGGCCAAUACUGACGCUCAUGCACGAAAGCGUGGGGAGCAAACAGG